UAUAUAAAAUAAAAUACCUUCAAAUUCAUAUUAAUUCAUUAUGAGAAUUACCAUAUUCCCUUUGUUUCUCCGUUUCGUCCUGAAAACAGCCUCUUAAUUUAAGACAAAAUUAAUAUUAAGCGUAAUUGCGAGAGUAGGAUUUCACUCUUAGGACCAGAGUAAAACACAUUAUAUCAAACCGGAGCAAAAUACGUCCAAUGUACGCGAAUGAGACAUUAAUUUGCCAUACGAAGGAUUAUGGCUACGCUUUAUCUUCCCGUUAAUCCUGAUUUAGAGAUUCUGCUACGUACGCCACCUAACCUAUUCGUCGGGAAUUAAGAUGCUGGAAAUACGAGUUGCUUUGUCGUUUUGACAUAGCUUAUGUCAAACUUGGAGAUUAACUUUUGUUGUUUCUUUUUUGUGUUUCCUAUCCAGUUGGUGAUUGAUGAUGAAAAAAACAACUUCCUGAUGCAUUUCGUACGGCGGGAAUGUUGACACAAAAUGAUAGAAAGGAUGUUUGCCAGACUCGUGAAGGGUUAACCAAGUUGAUAAGGGUAAAGUAAUUGAUACUGACGCUAAAACGUCUGACCGUGAAGUAAGUACAAACGGAAUAUCCGGCGGAAUUAUAGGAUUAUAUUAAUACGCUCGUUUCACAGAGCCAUAGUCGCUAUUUGCAGUUACCACGCGCUUCUUCGAUACCCUGCGUGUAAAUUCAUUCAUUAGGGAUUUGUAGAUCUUCGAAGACUAUUAAAGGGUGGCCAAUCUAAAUUGGCUAAAUUAUAAAAUGAAUUUUAAUUAAAUUGUUAAUACAAUUAAUAAUCCAAGAAUUCAGAAGGGUGUCACUAUGUCUAACAAGUGUAAAUGACGGCUGAAUACGACCCUGUGCACGCGAACAAAAGAAUGAAUUCUUAAGGGUGAACAAAGCAUUUAAAGAAACUUCAAAACUCCAUAAUCAAACAACUACUUUCAAAGGAAUAUGUGAUAUCAAAGAUUCCCAUCGUAGAAUCUAUAUAUCCAGAAUGGAAAAAAAAUUACCUGAUAUUCGCGAAUCCUAUUCGAGAAUGAUGUACAUUGAUCAUGUGCCAUCUGACGCGUUCGCCAGUAUAAAAUUGCGUGUGAGAUAAACGUCUCAUUCUUCCACGAUCCACGAUACUUAAAACAUUUGAACUUUAUUCCAUACAAUGGGAUACUAGAAAACACUAUACAAGUAAACGAUUCCAUGAUCGCCGCGUAGCGGCGAAUUAUCGUUCACAUCCUUUCCCCAAGACGUAAAUCCUAAUAUCGAAUCGAGGCAGGUUGUUUGCCAUUUUCUCUUCUUGUUUAACUUUCUUACUAAUUUUAUUCUCUUUGUCUAUAAGUGUUUGAAACGAGGUUGAAAUGAUAUUCUUUUGUAGAAGAGUAUAAUUUUCUUAAAAAAUAUCCACAAAAUAUUGCACUAUAAUGCUUUUAAUUUAUUUUCUUUGUUGAUAAUAUUUAUAUAUAUAUUAGACAUAUAUAUCUACAUAAUACUUGCAAAAUGAAGAUAAAAAACAAGAAUUAUUAGAAACAAAUAAGAAAAUUAAACUUUUAAUGAAAAGAAUCUGAGAAUAUAUUGUUACUCCUAUUUUUAACAAUUAAACAUAAUUUCUCUCAUAUUAUGCAUAUAAUUCUUCCUUUAGAUAAAUAAAUUUUCAAAUUAUUCAAAUCAUUCAAAUGUUAGAUUUUGUUUUGCUCAUGCACUCAAAUCUAUAAACACUUAUUUUCCCAUCGAAAUAAAAUAAUUUCAAUUAAUUCUAUCAAUCCUUCUCCAAAAAUUAAAAUUCAAAAGAAUCAUCCUUUCGCCUCGUUUCAACAACAAUUCAAACUCUUCCUCCGCCAAACUCCAAUAUUUUCUCGUAUACUCGAAGUUCGUUCAUUGAGAAAUUCAACAGACGAAAUCUCCGAAACAUCCUCGUCCACUGUAUAUCAUUCAUGAACACCCCCUUCAUCCUUGAACGCGAGAACCAUAAGCGAAAAAACGAUUAGAAAGCAAAAAAUGGCAAACAACACGAAGGAAUGGUUAGAAUUAUUUCGUUAGCACGAGGCACGAGGAUCAGGCGAACGGGUGAGCGUCGUGCGAAACACUAAGGACACUGUAUAGCGGGGUGCCUGAGUAUGGGGGCGCGCCCCUUCGCGCACAGGGCCCCCUCAAGCGGCGUGCAUCAGACUACAUUCGAUACGUUGUCCACGAGGGGUUCCCCCGUCGACCCAUCGUGGCCCUAUGACUAAUAAGAAGCCUGGCAGACACUGUCACACGAAUCCAAGUAUCCCGUGUUAAACGAUGCAAAACUUUGUGGCUUCGGGAGGUUGAUCGAGGACGUGUAAGGGUGAAUCGAUAAAUAAGUUAGUAGCACCCUAUUCUAAUUCUUUUUUUUUUUUUUAGCAACAUAUCAUCUUAUUCUUUUUAUAUUAUUGAUUAUUUAGAGAAGUUUUCUUGAUUUUAAAAUAUAUCAAAAAUAUAUUAUCAAUAUUUUGAAUAAUUUUUUUUCUAUAGAUAUUUAAAGUCAGUCGCAAAGAAAUCUUAUAGAGAAAUUCUUCUUAAAUUUUGAUUUUUCAGAAAAUAAAAUCGAUCUCCAAUGUUUAAAUUUUUCAUUGCAUUAUAAUUCAUUAAAAAUAAAGAAAUUAACGAAGUUCUAUUCUAUAUAUUAUCGAUGAUGUAGUUACAAUUCUUGAACAUGUAUCAAUUAUUUUUAUUUUUUAAGAAUAAAUCAAAAAGUGAAAAGAAGAAAAAAAGAAACUCGAA
rnacentral:lncRNA from 1 species